UUCUGUGGACCCUUCCUCCUAAAGACUCCUCCUGCAGACUCUACUCCUUUCAAGGGGUCAAAGAGGUCACUUUUGACAGGCUCUCUGGCCACAGGCUGCACAGAUCUGCCAGCCAGCCUGGAUUGAGCUUGUUUGGGGCCAGAUGCUGAGCCAGACCACAGAGCCCACAGGCCAGUGUUCACCAGGAGUGGCCCUUAAUGGAGACCUCAACCUGGAGUGGUCCUGAUAGAGACCUCAACCUGGAGUGGUCCUUGAUGGAGCCCUCAACCUGGAGUGGUCCUGAUGGAGACCUCAACCUGGAGUGGUCCUGAUGGAGACCUCAACCUGGAGUGGUCCUUGAUGGAGCCCUCAACCUGGAGUGGUCCUGAUGGAGACCUCAACCUGGAGUGGUCCUGAUGGAGACCUCAACCUGGAGUGGUCCUUGAUGGAGCCCUCAACCUGGAGUGGUCCUGAUGGAGACCUCAACCUGGAGUGGUCCUGAUGGAGACCUCAACCUGGAGUGGUCCUGAUGGAGACCUGCUCCUUCCAAGGAGGCUUCCCUGCUGAUCCCCACUUCCAUUGUCACCCCACCCUCCACGCCUAGCUUGCUCACUGCAACAGGCUCCUGAAGCCUCAGAGUCCCCCUACACAGAAGAUGGCUCAGCCAGAAUAGGCAAGUGGCCA
rnacentral:lncRNA from 1 species